ACAAUUGGCGGGGUGCCUAUACAUGCAGUCGAGCGGACAGAAGGGAGCUUGCUCCCGGAUGUUAGCGGCGGACGGGUGAGUAACACGUGGGUAACCUGCCUGUAAGACUGGGAUAACUCCGGGAAACCGGAGCUAAUACCGGAUAGUUCCUUGAACCGCAUGGUUCAAGGAUGAAAGACGGUUUCGGCUGUCACUUACAGAUGGACCCGCGGCGCAUUAGCUAGUUGGUGAGGUAACGGCUCACCAAGGCGACGAUGCGUAGCCGACCUGAGAGGGUGAUCGGCCACACUGGGACUGAGACACGGCCCAGACUCCUACGGGAGGCAGCAGUAGGGAAUCUUCCGCAAUGGACGAAAGUCUGACGGAGCAACGCCGCGUGAGUGAUGAAGGUUUUCGGAUCGUAAAGCUCUGUUGUUAGGGAAGAACAAGUGCAAGAGUAACUGCUUGCACCUUGACGGUACCUAACCAGAAAGCCACGGCUAACUACGUGCCAGCAGCCGCGGUAAUACGUAGGUGGCAAGCGUUGUCCGGAAUUAUUGGGCGUAAAGGGCUCGCAGGCGGUUUCUUAAGUCUGAUGUGAAAGCCCCCGGCUCAACCGGGGAGGGUCAUUGGAAACUGGGAAACUUGAGUGCAGAAGAGGAGAGUGGAAUUCCACGUGUAGCGGUGAAAUGCGUAGAGAUGUGGAGGAACACCAGUGGCGAAGGCGACUCUCUGGUCUGUAACUGACGCUGAGGAGCGAAAGCGUGGGGAGCGAACAGGAUUAGAUACCCUGGUAGUCCACGCCGUAAACGAUGAGUGCUAAGUGUUAGGGGUUUCCGCCCCUUAGUGCUGCAGCUAACGCAUUAAGCACUCCGCCUGGGGAGUACGGUCGCAAGACUGAACUCAAAGGAAUUGACGGGGGCCCGCACAAGCGGUGGAGCAUGUGGGUUUAAUUCGAAGCAACGCGAAGAACCUUACCAGGUCUUGACAUCCUCUGACAACCCUAGAGAUAGGGCUUUCCCUUUCGGGGACAGAGUGACAGGUGGUGCAUGGUUGUCGUCAGCUCGUGUUCGUGGAGAAUGUUGGGGUUAAGUCCCGGCAACGAAGCGGCCACACCUGAC
rnacentral:rRNA from 1 species